UCCUUGGCGUGCUCUGCAUGGCAGAACUACUGCGCAUCUGCGCAGCAGCUUGUCAUGGGGCCGCCUUUUCAUUAUCCCUCCUGACUGGUGUGUAAUUUCGCCUGGGAGGGAAUUCCUUUGUCAGCUUUGUCUGUGUUGUUCUAUCCAAGCAUGGAAACAAGAUCGGCCGUAUGAUGUGUGUUUUCUGCUUGCCUUGUUGAUGAUUUUAUCGUCUCCAGGGCAGUCGAAUUGUCGGUGAGACUCACGUGCAUCCCACAGUAGUUCAGCUGUGGCACUGCACUUGGGUGUUGUCGGCUCUUGCGGAUGCUGUGUCCACAAUGAGUUCUGUAGGCCACUGGUCCACAGGCUUUGAGAGGCCCCUUGUACGAAUCACUGGUUCGUCGAUCGCCCGUCAAGUCGGUUCUGCCGUCAUGCUGGAGCGGGGUGUGGGUUGCCUCUCUGACCUAAUUAGCAGCGAUUGUCGGCUUGUAUUGUUAGGCGUGCCUCCCCUCUGGGGCGGUUCCGGAAACAACGAGCCGACUCUCGUUUAAGACGUGC
rnacentral:misc_RNA from 1 species